rnacentral:rRNA from 1 species
AUUGAACGCUGGCGGCAUGCUUUACACAUGCAAGUCGAACGGUAACAGGCCUUCGGGCGCUGACGAGUGGCGAACGGGUGAGUAAUGCAUCGGAACGUGCCCAGUCGUGGGGGAUAACUAUCCGAAAGGAUAGCUAAUACCGCAUACGAUCUGCGGAUGAAAGCGGGGGACCUUCGGGCCUCGCGCGAUUGGAGCGGCCGAUGUCAGAUUAGGUAGUUGGUGGGGUAAAGGCUCACCAAGCCAACGAUCUGUAGCUGGUCUGAGAGGACGACCAGCCACACUGGGACUGAGACACGGCCCAGACUCCUACGGGAGGCAGCAGUGGGGAAUUUUGGACAAUGGGCGCAAGCCUGAUCCAGCAAUGCCGCGUGCAGGAAGAAGGCCUUCGGGUUGUAAAGCUCUUUCGGCAGGAACGAAACGGCGAGCUCUAACAUAGCUCGCUAAUGACGGUACCUGAAGAAGAAGCACCGGCUAACUACGUGCCAGCCGCCGCAGUAAUAC